GGAGGGGGGAGAGAGAGAAAGGGCGAUGCCUUUGCCGCUGCCAAAGUCGAGGAAGGACCAGGCCCUCAGCCAGCGAGCCCUUUCCUUUCUCAUCGCGUUCCUUGAUGAUGUGGUGUCGUUAUCGAUGACCACAGCUUAGGUCACAGCCAUCGGGGGCGAGAGGAGAGGAGAGAGAGGGAGGAAAAUAUCAAACAGGAGG
rnacentral:lncRNA from 1 species